rnacentral:rRNA from 1 species
GACGAACGCUGGCGGCAUGCCUAAUACAUGCAAGUCGACGUUAGUGGCGGACGGGUGAGUAACACGUGGGCAACCUGCCCGUCAGAAGGGGACAACACUUGGAAAAAGGUGCCAUUAGCGUACACAGAGGGAUGGACGCUCGGCGAAUUAGCUAGUUGGUGGGUGAACGGCUUACCAAGGGCACGAUGCAUAGCCGACCUGAGAGGGUGAUCAGCCACAUUGGGACUGAGACACGGCCCAAACUCCUACGGGAGGCAGCAGUAGGGAAUCUUCGGCAAUGGACGAAAGUCUGACCGAGCAACGCCGCGUGUGUGAAGAAGGUUUUCGGAUCGUAAAACUCUGUUGUUAGAGAAGCGGUAUCUAACCAGAAAGCCCCGGCUAACUACGUGCCAGCAGCCGCGGUAAUAC